AAGAAGUGUAGAUUUACCACAUCCAUUUAAUCCAAGCAAACCAUAACGUCUGCCAUAAUUGAGCUCCAGCUCAGAAUCAACAAUAAGGUCAUGCCCAUGAAAGGUAACUGAUAAAGAUUCUAUUCGGAUGUCCCUGGAGAGAGGAUGUGAGCAAAGCACACCAGUACAAGUCCGAUCAGAUAACUGAAGAGCGUCAACUCCAUUCGCCAACUUAUCAACUCCAUUCUGCGAUUCAGCCGCUGCCGCCUUGGAAGAAGCGGCCGCCGCCGCUGCUUUUCCUCCUCGCUUGGCCGCCGCAGCCGCCUUCUUCUGAGCCGCUUUCUUCUUGCUCGCGUCGGAAACCAUCCUUAACCUGGGGAGACGGAUAAAGAAGAUCCAAGGAAAAGCGACACUGACAGAGCGAGCGAGAAGGAGCAAGUGAGAAGAGGAAGCAGAUCUAGGGCUUGAAGAAAUCGCUCUUCGUCUCUCACGGCGCUAUUGUUGUGCGCUUUUUAUCAGAGACCUGCGACGCGUAAUGCGAU
rnacentral:misc_RNA from 1 species